rnacentral:lncRNA from 1 species
AACAAGCAAGAAUAAGCCCAGGACCCUACAGUGUGUGUGGUACAAGAGAUUUCCAAAAGUUUCUAGGUGCCUUCAGUGGGCAAAGUGCAAGGUAUUAAAAAAACUGAGAGGGAAGGACCCUGCCAAGAAGGCGGCUACCAUGAGGGAGAGAUGGAAGGUGAGGCUGAGACCCAGAGGAGGUGCAAUGCCAGAGGGUGCAGAGGGGUUUUUUUUCUGCAUAACUAAAGGAGGGUUUCGGAGAUGAGAACACUUACAGAAAAUAUGAGAGUGUGGAGUAAAUGGUCUCAACCAGUGAAUGGAAAAAGGAAAGUAACUUCAAAUUUUGGAAAGGGAUUCAGAACAAAAUCAUCAGGUUGAAGAUCCCGGAAGAUGACUGAAGCUCAGCCAGGGGGAAGCCUUUUGAUGGUGAAGUGUCAGAGAGCAAAGGAGGAACUGUCAACAAUGGUGAUUCCACUAAUGAAAAUAUCCAAUGUGAGCUGGUGGUCCUUUGCUUGUUGUUCUGAGGUAAGUGAACAUGUGAUUUGGCCACAGUGUUUUACUUCCAACCUAAAAUGACUUUACUGCCUCUCUCUUUCCCUGGCUGAUUUCUUACCGAGGGGCAGUUGGCAGCUUCACCUCAGAGCUGCAGGAAGGAACGGGGCAGUGAAAAUCGAAUCGGGUGUGAUCCUAGGCCAAGCUCAUGGCCCAGCAGGGCCAGCAGGGGCAGAUGGCAAGUGGAGACAGCAAUCUCAACUUCAGGUUUCCACAAAUGCUGUGGUCUGUUGUAGU